AUUUCAUUUCAUCCUCUCCCAUAGAUGUCCAGAUGAAGCCUGAUGUCACAAAGUUAAUGAAUGUGCUCAACAAAUCCCCAUUCUUAAGGACACAUGAUAGAAUACUUUUGGGCCGGUUUUUUCCUUGUAAUCCCUCUUCAGAGAAACAAUUGAACACCACAUCAUUGUGCAAGAGGGCGAACCGGCUACACUCUAUCCAACCCUACAGCUGAUGGACAUGAGGAACAACAAGAGGGUUCCAUGUGGUCAAAGAAGACGGAGUAGGCAUGUGUUGGUACACACGUCUUGAUGAGGCCUUCAUGACAGCCUUCACUAUGUUUUAACAUUUGGUGUUUAAGUUCUAAAGGAAUUCAAAUGCA